AGUUGGAUUUUGGUUAAGAGGGCGCGGUCGGCCGUUUGGUCUGUACUGCGUUGUCUUGACUUCCUGAUGAGGACAUGCUCUUGGUUAACGCUGAGACAUGGAGUCAUCGUGGUUACUUUGAAAAAAUUAGAGUGUUCAAAGCGGGCUUACGCUUGAAUAUAUUAGCAUGGAAUAACACUAUAGGACUCCUGUCCUAUCUCGUUGGUCUCGGGAUGGGAGUAAUGAUUAAGAGGAACAGUUGGGGGCAUUCGUAUUUCAUUGUCAGAGGUGAAAUUCUUGGAUUUAUGAAAGACGAACUUCUGCGAAAGCAUUUGCCAAGGAUGUUUUCAUUAAUCAAGAACGAAAGUUGGGGGCUCGAAGAUGAUUAGAUACCAUCCUAGUCUCAACCAUAAACGAUGCCGACUAGGGAUUGGUGGAUGUUAAUUGAUGACUUCACCAGCACCUUAUGAGAAAUCAAAGUUUUUGGGUUCCGGGGGGAGUAUGGUCGCAAGGCUGAA
rnacentral:rRNA from 1 species